rnacentral:rRNA from 1 species
GAUGAACGCUGGCGGCGUGCCUAAUACAUGCAAGUCGAGCGAACAGACGAGGAGCUUGCUCCUCUGACGUUAGCGGCGGACGGGUGAGUAACACGUGGAUAACCUACCUCUUAGACUGGGAUAACUUCGGGAAACCGGAGCUAAUACCGGAUAAUAUAUUGAACCGCAUGGUUCAAUAGUGAAAGACGGUUUUGCUGUCACUUAUAGAUGGAUCCGCGUUGCCUUAGCUAGUUGGUAAGGUAACGGCUUACCAAGGCAACGAUGCGUAGCCGACCUGAGAGGGUGAUCCGCCACACUGGAACUAAGACACGAUCCAGACUCCUACGGGAGGCAGCAGUAGGGAAUCUUCCGCAAUGGGCGAAAGCCUGACGGAGCAACGCCGCGUGAGUGAUGAAGGUCUUCGGAUCGUAAAACUCUGUUAUUCGGGAAGAACAAAUGUGUAAGUAACUAUGCACGUCUUGACGGUACCUAAUCAGAAAGCCACGGCUAACUACGUG